UGGGGAAUCUUGCGCAAUGGGCGAAAGCCUGACGCAGCGACGCCGCGUGUGGGAUGAAGGCCUUCGGGUCGUAAACCACUGUCGCGAGGGACGAAUAAAUUGACGGUACCUCGAAAGGAAGCACCGGCUAACUCUGUGCCAGCAGCCGCGGUAAUACAGAGGGUGCGAGCGUUGUCCGGAAUCACUGGGCGUAAAGGGCGCGUAGGUGGCUGUGUAAGUCGGGGGUGAAAUGCUGCGGCUCAACCGCAGCGCUGCCUCCGAGACUGCACGGCUUGAGCACGGUAGAGGCCGAUGGAAUUCCCGGUGUAGCGGUGGAAUGCGUAGAGAUCGGGAAGAACACCGAUGGCGAAGGCAGUCGGCUGGGCCGUUGCUGACACUGAGGCGCGACAGCGUGGGGAGCAAACAGG
rnacentral:rRNA from 1 species